rnacentral:tRNA from 1 species
GGAGGAUUAUAGCUAGUGGUAGAGCACAUGCUUAGGAUGCAUGAAGUCUUGGGUUCAAUCCCCAGAACCUUCA